rnacentral:tRNA from 1 species
GAGGGUGUAGCUCAAGCGGUAGAGUGUGUGCUUAGCAUGCAUGAGCUCCUGGGUUCAAUCCCUAGUACCUCCU